UACGGGGGGGGCAAGCGUUGUUCGGAAUUACUGGGCGUAAAGGGCUCGUAGGCGGCCAACUAAGUCAGACGUGAAAUCCCUCGGCUUAACCGGGGAACUGCGUCUGAUACUGGAUGGCUUGAGGUUGGGAGAGGGAUGCGGAAUUCCAGGUGUAGCGGUGAAAUGCGUAGAUAUCUAGGAACACCGGUGGCGAAGGCGGCAUCCUGGACCAAUUCUGACGCUGAGGAGCGAAAGCCAGGGGAGCAAACGGG
rnacentral:rRNA from 1 species